GGUACCAAUCUAAAAGGUUCUUGAAUGGGGCGAACACUUUUUUAUGACUGAAAGCGUUAAGCCCGCCUCGUCACUAAUGUUAAUAAAUUCCUGUCGGAGAAUACCGCAAAAUGAUAUUUCAGUUCGCUCAACGCGGACCUAUUUGACGAGGCGGUGUCUCGGUUAACAAUGUCCCCUAAAAAUGUUCAUAUUUCAAUCGCCGUAGAGCAAAUGACGAGGUUUCUCUUGAAGCAAGCAAAGCGACCGCCUAAGCAUGCUUUCGAGGCAACUUAAGAUAGGAAAAAAACUCAAGAGUUCAGUGAUCAAACACCAACAGAGCCUCGUGAUAAGUUGCCUGUAAAGAGGAGCAUGAACCCAUCAGAUGCCUCCGAAGAUAUUGACCUGACGAACAAUGCUGCAAAGCAAAAUCUCAGUAAGCAAAGUGCUCAAACACCUACAGAGCCUCGUGACAAGUUUCUGUACACAGAAGAGCCUGAUCCCAUCAGAUGCCUCCGAAGAGAUUGAAAAGAACUGUUUACGGACAUUUUCAGAACUGUUUAAGAACUUUGUUCCAGACUUAUUUGAAGCAACCCUUCGAAACUGUUCUAAACAUUUCUAGAAUUGUACUGGAACACACCGGCUAGAACUGUUCUGUAAUCAUACUGAAAAUGUUCUAGAAUUAUUCUGGAACAGUUGUUGAACGUUAAAUGAGAAAAAAAUUCUAGAACAAUUCUAUAACAGUUCUGGAAAUUUAUUCAAGAAAAAUUGUGGAAUAGUUCUAGAACGAUAGUUCAAGAAUUGUUCUAGAUCAGUUGUUGAACGUUAAAUGAGAAAAAUUUCUAGAACAAUUCUAUAACAGUUCUGGAAAUUUAUUCAAGAAAAAUUCUGGAAUAGUUCUAGAACGCUAGUUCAAGAAUUGUUCUAGAACAAACCUUCAGAACUGUUUCAGAACAAAUUGUUCUAGAAAUUAUUCUCAUUUAACGUUCAACAACUGUUCUAAAUCGUUCUAGAGCAUUUUAAGGAUGAUUCCAGAACACUUCUAGUCAUUAGUUCCAGUACAAUUCUAGAAAUGUUAUAGAACAGUUCUAACAAUCUUCGCAGGGGCGAGUGUGACCAUAAAAAAUGUUCAGUUUUAUAGAAGGGGUUCCACUGUAACAUAAAAUUGAAUCGAAGCAUGUCUACUCCACUAUCAUCCCCAACAAUUACAAUAACCUGCACAGGCAUGUCUUACAAGUGAUAGUAUUCCUAAAUCACUCAGGUUAAAGUUGUAAUAUAAAAAAAAUAAAAUUGUAAAUACAGUGACAAAAACAAAUUUGCAUCCAUGUAUUUACUAGACAUAUGAAUUUCAUAAGAAGAAUGCUUCUUCAUGACAGUGCUUUAAGUUUUAGAAUUCCAGGUAAUUGAUUGUAUAUUAUAUAUUCUUACUUUAAUGGCAGAAAUUCUUAAAGCCUAUUCAUUGAAUAUCAUAUUUAUUAACAUGUUCAAAAGCAAUUGACUCAUUCUUCAUUCUGUAUGAGAUCAAGAGUUCAAUGUUCAGUAACAAAUGUUCUGUGUUAAAGAUAGGUGUAGGAAAUCACAUUUCCUAUGGGGAGAACUGUAGCAACCUAAACCAAUUAGGUCUGAAAUGGAGCACUUGGCUCAUGGCUCAUUGUGGCUCUACAAAGUAUUUCACUCCCUUGGUGCAAAAAGGUACCAUGUGACAUUGAAAUUAGAGGGCACAUGGUACCUUUUUGCACCAAUGGGGCGAAAUUUUGAUACUGCUUUUAAGCCCAGCUCUGGGAAAACAUGGAUUAAUGCUCUGUCCACCUAGACUGGAUUGAAACCAAUUUUAAACGUAAUAUUCCAUACAAGCCUGUGUGUACUGCACAGGCUAAUCUGGGACAAAACUUUCUGCUUUAUUUUUAUUAAAGGAAGUCUCCUUUUAAGAAAAAUCCAUUCUACCAGUAGGCGGAAAGUUUUGUCCAUGAACUUGUCCUCUUCUAUGAACACUUAAAUACAUAUUUUUUUCACUGACCUAUUAAUAACUGAUGGCAAUCAACAAUGUUUACUGUUUUGAAAAAUUUCAUAAUUAUAAUCAUAAACCAGUCUAGUCAGUUGGUUACAGACUGACCAGGUAAGAACACAACUGAAGUUGGGGGACCAUACUCAUUUUUCAGACAGACUGACUGGUUCCAUUCUCUUGCAUAACAUGGCUCCAGGAAAUCUGUGUUUACCAGUCCACUAUCAACUGAUUAAAUUGGUCAAUUUUCUGCUGAUACUUUCUUGGGAAGAAGUUAAACAAGGCAUUGAGAGUGAGAGAAAGAACCUGCAUCUGCCAAACUCAUGAUAUUUUAACAGUUUUACAGGAAAUCAAGAUAAUAUUUUCUAACUGGUUAUAACCUUUUUAAAAGCCUUGCAGACUUAUUAAAGUAUUUCAAUUAUGUCUCUUAACCUUUUCCCCCAUAAGAAUUGAAAAUGGCCUUUGAAAGCAGCAUAAAACCAGAACAGCCUGUGAGCAACUCCAGUCUGUUGUAUGCUGUUUGCUGCUCAUCAGUAACUAAGGGUUGAAAAUAAACCCUUAAAACUUGAAUUUAGAAGGAAAGGAAUCGAAGUGGUUAAAGGUUAACUCAGUUGAGCUACCCAUUAGCAUGUUUGACUAAGGUUGGAAAUUGUACUGUGAUUUGUUGGAAUGAUAGAAGAAUUUGAGCUGUGUCAUGUAACAAACAUGUAUUUCCCCUGAGCCUGUUUCACUUUUUUUUCAAUAAUAAAAUGAAAAUGUAGAUAGAUCCAAAUCUUCAGAGUAUCAUUGUGACCUCUCCAAUUUCAAUUAAUGGAUUAAUUAGAUCUGUAACAUCUACCUGAGAUAAUCUGAGAGGAAUUAAUCAUAUCAGAAUAACAAAGGUAUCUGUCUGUUAUUUCCAGUCUCAAUGAUCUCUAUGAAUCAAGUAGCUAAUACAAAUUGAGCUAAUUGGCAGUGAUUACAUCCAAAUAUCAGCCAGUGAACCCGGUUUAACCAACUAAACAUUGUUCCAGGCAUUCAAGUACACUGGUAACCUACCUAGCUUGAUUAUUCUUCAGAAUGAAAUUUAUAGAACCAAAUAAAUGUGAUUUCCUUUCAGUAGUAAUGAAUCUGGUCAAAAUUAAUUGAUUUAUAGUGACAAAUAUGGGUAAGAGGCUUACAUAACAGUCUGGUAAGCAUCCUCAGACAGUUAUUGCCCUUGUUUAUGAGGCUGCCAUUUCAAGCUAAAAAUGAAAUUGACAGAAUACAUACUGUAGCUGUAUAUUUAACAAACUAUUUAUUUAUAUGUCUCAUUAAAUUAUAUUUUAGAAUUGUUUUCUAUAUUUUUUUUAUCAUUUAAUAUGUUUCUAUAAGUCUUUCAUACAAUUAUGCCAAGCUUGCAUUUUCUCAACAAGUUUAAAGAUUAACAUCUCAUAUAAAAUGAAUUUGUAAUUAAUUAAAAAUAAAAUUGA